AUAUAGCGUAUGUUUUAGUUUUAAAGCAUCAUUCAUUUAUUAUAAACUAAAACUAUUUUACGUGUCUCACUGUUCUAUGAUUUGAUGGUAAAUUUGACAUGUUUGGCAUAAGGAACUUUGGUUCUAUGCUUAAUAUAAUUCACAUUGCCGACUCUGUCACUAAGUUAAUUGCUCGAUGUAAGUUCUAUGUAAAAUUUUAUUGAAGGCUUAGACUUUUUUGUUGUUUCAAUUGGUUUUUGAACCGAAACCGCACCAAUUAAAACCGUACCGCACACUUUAAAACCGCACCGCACCAAUC
rnacentral:lncRNA from 1 species